rnacentral:sRNA from 1 species
UUACCCCAUGAUGCUAGGUCCGCCGCAUCUCCUGGGUCGUGGGGUCGGUCGACCGGUUAUGACAAAUACGGAAUCCUCGUGCCGUUGUCAUAAUUGGUCGACCCCCGU